GUUUCUGACAAUUUGGUGUAAUUGGCGUAUUAUGCUUAAACUCUGCUAUAAAUUGAUGUAUGGUGCAGUGUUAAAACCUGAGGCUAGGAGAAGUGUUUGCUUAGAAGAAUAGUGUAAAAUGGCAUCGCUCAAAGCUGAGAAACCUGUUGAGAAAUCUCCUCAAUCUGCAGGGCAGGUGAAGAAAGAGACUUCUGCAAAACCUAGUUCAGGCAAUCCCAAAGCCCCAGCCUCCAAACCAGCUCCAAAGAAAACUUCAACCCAGACUAGGAAGAAGGGAAGCAGCAAUAAAUAAGCUGAAGAUGUAUGGAUGAGUAAAAAGAAUGAUUUGGAAUUAUGGGAAGAGUUGAUAAGGUUACUGUUAUGUGGUGCUUUUCAAACAUAUGGUUUUAAGCAGUGCUACUGUUUAUAGACUCUGUAUUACUUGCUUAUGUUAUUUUCCUGUCAUGUUGCAACCUGUCUUGGCCUGAUAAAUAAAAGAUAUCCUUAUAUUGUAUGAUCACGCUCAUCAAGCAGAAAUUCUGUUUAAUUUUUA
rnacentral:sRNA from 1 species